AUUCAGGGGCUAUUAGCUUUCUCUCUCUGUCUCUCUCUGUCUCUCUCUCUCUCUGUCUGGAUGUAACCUGGAGGGAGUGACUGCCAAGUCCUGAGGUCUCUGAUCGAGUUGCUGUCCUUGUUGCCCCUGUUGCUAUAAUUGUUGCUGUGUUUCCUAGAAAGAAGAUCCUGUGAACCUGAUGCUCACUUGAACCAGCACCCAGCUUUCUGCAUUAUCAAGAAGUCAGAGAAGGAAGAUGACACUUUGGCCUGAUGCACUGGCAGAAACAUUCAAUUCAGAAACAAAUACCCUACAGUGAAAUACAGCUUGCUGCUCACCAGGAAUCUUAUCACCUGCCAGAAGAGAGGCUGAGAAGCAGUGCAGAAUAUCGGAUAAAGGGCCCAAUCUGAAGUCAGGAAAAUCUGGGUUCAUUUCCUGUCUCUGACAGUUACAAGCUGUGUGACUGUCCCCAAGAACAGAUUUCCCUCAAAUAAAAUAAUGAUCUAUACUGUGUUUAGGUAGUCUGACUGUUGAAAGGUUUUCUUUCAACAAGAUUCUUUCCUCUCACUAGAGAACUUUUAUAAACAACAUAUCCACUUGGUGUCACAAAGUUGUCCCUGGUUUUUACGCCAAUUAUUUUUCAAUUUAAUGUCAACAUCACAUCUUUCAACAAAUACAUUUCCUCUACACG